rnacentral:tRNA from 1 species
UAUUUUAAUAGCUUAUUUAGAGCUUAAUGCUGAAGACGUUGAGGUAGAUUUUUUCUUUAAAAUAU